GUGCCAGCCGCCGCGGUAAUACGUAGGGGGCUAGCGUUGUCCGGAAUUAUUGGGCGUAAAGCGCGUGUAGGCGGCUUGCCAAGUCCGGUGUGAAAACUGAGGGCUCAACCCUCAGCCUGCACUGGAAACUGGCUUGCUAGAGUCCGGAAGAGGAGACUGGAAUUCCUGGUGUAGCGGUGAAAUGCGCAGAUAUCAGGAAGAACACCCGUGGCGAAGGCGGGUCUCUGGGACGGUACUGACGCUGAGACGCGAAAGCGUGGGGAGCAAACAGGAUUAGAUACCCUGGUAGUCC
rnacentral:rRNA from 1 species